rnacentral:snoRNA from 2 species
AGGCCAUGAUGUGGACACUUGCGUAAUAGCUCCUUGAACCUUUCCCUAGUUUCAUAUAAGGAUUCCCCGUCCUCUUGUCAAUAUGUAUUAAUUUUAGUCAUUAAUUU